ACCGCCCUGCUGGUGUGGCUGGGUUUCAGUUUCCCCGAAUUCAAGUGUGUCCUAAAAUGGACAGCGACCUUCUAAACAACUCUUCGCUGGCCUGAGAGCAUCUUUCCCGGACAGACCAGGAAGUGAAAUGGACUAUUUCUGGUCAUUCUCCACUAAGGUGGAAAUGUGCAAUGGUGUAGCCAAUGGUGUGGGAAGUCUUCGAGUUCCUGAAAAAGUUAAAAAUAGUGUUACCAUAUGACCCAGCACUUCCAUACCUGGGUAUCCACCCGAGAGAAAUGAAAAGGAGUCUCCGCGCAAAGUCUUGCACGUGAAUAU